rnacentral:rRNA from 1 species
CCCUUAGAUGUCCGGGGCCGCACGCGCGCUACACUGAAGGAAUCUGCGUGGCUUUCUCCCUGACCCGAAAGGGUUGGGAAACCCGUUGAAUCUCCUUCGUGAUAGGGAUUGGGGCUUGAAAUUGUUCCCCAUGAACGAGGAAUUCCCAGUAAGCGCGAGUCAUAAGCUCGCGUUGAUUACGUCCCUGCCCUUUGUACACACCGCCCGUCGCUACUACCGAUUGAACGGUUUAGUGAGGGCCUCGGAUUGGUCUCGGCCCGCUCUUUACCGGGCGGCGCCGUUGGUCGAGAAGACGCUCGAACUUGAUCGUUUAGAGGAAGUAAAAGUCGUAACA